rnacentral:rRNA from 1 species
UACGUAGGGUGCAAGCGUUAAUCGGAAUUACUGGGCGUAAAGCGUGCGCAGGCGGUUUGCUAAGACAGGUGUGAAAUCCCCGGGCUUAACCUGGGAACUGCGCUUGUAACUAGCAGGCUAGAGUGUGGCAGAGGGGGGUGGAAUUCCACGUGUAGCAGUGAAAUGCGUAGAGAUGUGGAGGAACACCGAUGGCGAAGGCAGCCCCCUGGGCUAACACUGACGCUCAUGCACGAAAGCGUGGGGAGCAAACAGG